GCUCUCACGCUGGCCUCUCCCCGCGCUCGGCUCCUUUCUCUCGGCGAGGGUGGGCCGGCGCCGGCACUACCGUGACAUCACCCCCAUCCAGGCGCUUAUCGGGCGAGCGCGGCCCCAGAAACUCUCCUCCUCUCUGCGGUGGUGGACAGACAGGCUAUGGGGGAACCUGGAUGGCUACAGCGGGUCCGUGGGAGUUUAGCGAGGACGGCCAAUUCUCAGGGAUGCUCAGGCCUGCCCUGGCAGGGCCAGCAAACUACGCUCAAAACCUGGCCCACCGAUUGUUUUGAUAAAUAAAGUUUUAUUAGAACACA